CCUACGGGAGGCAGCAGUGAGGAAUAUUGGUCAAUGGGCUUACGCCUGAACCAGCCAAGUCGCGUGAGGGAAGACUGCCCUAUGGGUUGUAAACCUCUUUUGUCAGGGAGCAAUUGGCGCUACGUGUAGCGUUAUCGAGAGUACCUGAAGAAAAAGCAUCGGCUAACUCCGUGCCAGCAGCCGCGGUAAUACGGAGGAUGCGAGCGUUCUCCGGAUUUAUUGGGUUUAAAGGGUGCGUAGGCGGAAUGCCAAGUCAGCGGUAAAAUCGCGGGGCUCAACCUCGCUCCGCCGUUGAAACUGGCGUGCUUGAGUGGGCGAGAAGUAUGCGGAAUGCGUGGUGUAGCGGUGAAAUGCAUAGAUAUCACGAAGAACUCCGAUUGCGAAGGCAGCAUACCGGCGCCCAACUGACGCUGAAGCACGAAAGCGUGGGUAUCGAACAGGAUUAGAUACCCCGGUAGUC
rnacentral:rRNA from 1 species